AGGUUCCUUCCAAGCCUUCGAUUUAUGUUGCCAAUGUGAUAAAUCAAAUUGAAAAUUUUUUAGAAGAAAAUUCAAAGUUCCUCUCUCCAAAACUGAGAACCGAAUGGUGCAUUCGAAUUCUCGAUGGCGUCACACAACAGUAUUUGUCCGUCACCAGUGACGUUUUAAUAUCAGUAAAAAGAAUGGAAGACAGUCUGAAGAGGUUAAAGAGAGCGAGAGAUAAAAAUACGGUCAUAUCAGCCGCUGGCGGAAGUGGGGUCAGCGACGACGAUAAAAUCAGGCUGCAGUUGGCCUUGGACGUGGAGAGUUUUGGAAACAAGAUCGAAUGUCUUGGCAUACAGAGAAAGAAUGUACGGGGUUACGACACGCUGGUGGAAGUGGUAGAAUCGGCCAGAGUCUCGCCCUCGUCCUGAUAAGAAUUCGUAACCCUAUGGGUGCCCGUGACUCUUAGACCAUAUGUUAGAUCGGAAUAUUUUCCAAUCUAUGAAAUUAAUACACUUGUGAUAAUUUCAAAAGACGUUUGCCGAAAUUUUUAUCGGUGUGCAUUCGAAUGCCAUUGUACCAAGUUCCAAUACAUACUUACACAUAAUUUUUCAUUAAUGGUAUUUCUUUUCACUUUAUUGGGAGAUGGUGUCAAUUAUUUUUAUCUCAAUAGUCUUUGCUUGAAUAUUCACAUGAGAAAUACAAUGAAGUAUUAAAUCUGAUAUUUAUGAUCAUUGUUUGGUUUCUGAUCAAGUUCAGUUUUAUCAUUAUGUAAUUUGAAGAUUUGGAUUAGAUACUUCAUUGCAUAAAAAUAUCAUUUAGCAAGAACAGUUUGAUUUUAUCGAUAAGAUGAUUUCUGGAUUAUCUUGCAUACACAUGUACUAGUCUUGUCUUAAAGUAUCUCUCCCUCUUCUCGUGAAGAAAACUGAUGAUUUCUCAAGAUGCAAUAAAAAAAUUUCACUCUAAUUGGGAUCUUUUAUAUAUAAAUAAAUAUGGAAAAAGUUUUAUUAUAUUAUUAAUACUGAAUUCGAAAUUAUGAACUGUUCUUUCACACACUAAUUAAAAUCUUGUUACUAAGUUGAAAUUUUAUUUGAUUUUUAAUGGGAGUGAUUGGCAGAUAUGAAGCCAUUCAAUUUGAUGAUAAAAUGUGCAAUAUUCUUUACUUUUCUAUUGUUCUGAUUGGUAUAAAAGCUCUCGUUUAUUUAAAAGGUACUGUUAAUACUUAUGGUGAUUCGUUUGACAAUCAGUUAAAAAUUUACGAAUCAAUAUGUAUCAGUUAAAAAUUUACGAAAAUGUAUUUUCACAAACAAUAUGUAAAGACAGUGACGAGAAAAUUGUCUUUCUGUCAUUGAGUAUUAAUUUCAUAAGUAAAAAAUUGUCAAGGUAUUAUAUUUAUUAUCUGGGAUGGUGGCAGUCUAGUGGUACAACACCAGACUGCCUCUGUCCUAGUAAUUGCUUGGUAAUUGAAAAACCAGAUUGUAGUGUGGUGAUUUUAGGUCACUAGUAGUUUUGGAGUUGACAAGAACGUUUUUGGUUUAGAGUCAAACUCCAUUCGGUGGAUAACUUGGCAUCAAGCGUUAAUGCUUGAACAUCAUUUGAAUUUGGAGUCGUGUUGCUAAA